UACGUAGGAUGCAAGCGUUGUCCGGAUUUACUGGGCGUAAAGCGCGCGCAGGCGGCAGUACAAGUACCCUCUGAAAUCUCCUUGCUCAACGAGGAGGGUGGAGGGUAGACUGUGCAGCUAGAGGAGGGUAGAGGGGGGUAGAAUUGCUGGUGUAGCGGUGAAAUGCGUAGAUAUUGGGAAGAACACCGGUGGCGAAAGCGCCUUGCUGGGGCUGCACUGACACUGAGGGACGAAAGCUAGGGGAGCGAAAGGG
rnacentral:rRNA from 1 species